AGUGAACGCUGGUGGUAGGCCUAACACAUGCAAGUCGAACGGCAGCACAGUAAGAGCUUGCUCUUACGGGUGGCGAGUGGCGGACGGGUGAGGAAUACAUCGGAAUCUACUUUUUCGUGGGGGAUAACGUAGGGAAACUUACGCUAAUACCUCAUACGACCUACGGCUGAAAGCAGGGGAUCUUCGGACCUUUCGCGAUUGAAUGAGCCGAUGUCGGAUUAGCUAGUUGGCGGGGUAAAGGCCCACCAAGGCGACGAUCCGUAGCUGGUCUGAGAGGAUGAUCAGCCACACUGGAACUGAGACACGGUCCAGACUCCUACGGGAGGCAGCAGUGGGGAAUAUUGGACAAUGGGCGAAAGCCUGAUGCAGCAAUACCGCGUGAGUGAAGAAGGCCUUCGGGUUGUAAAGCCCUGUUGUUGGGAAAGAAAAGCAGCAGGUGAAUACCCCGCUGUUCUGACGGUACCCAAAGAAUAAGCACCGGCUAACUUCGUG
rnacentral:rRNA from 1 species